rnacentral:rRNA from 1 species
ACUCCGACUUCAUGGGGUCGAGUUGCAGACCCCAAUCCGAACUGAGACUGGCUUUAUGGGAUUCGCCCACCUGUAAGGGCGAGCGAAUCCCAUAAAGCCAGACUCAGCCCGGAUCGGGGUCUGCACCCCGACCCCGUGAAGCCGGAGUCGCAAGUCAUCGCAGGGCAGCAACGCUGCGGGGAGGACGUCCCCGGGCCUUGUACACACCGCCCGUCAAGUCAUGAAAGUCGGUAACACCCGAAGCCGGUGGCCCAACCCUUGUGGGGGGAGCCGUCGAAGGUGGGACCAGCGAUUGGGACUAAGUCGUAACAAGGUAGCCGUACCGGAAGGUGCGGCUGGAUCACCUCCUUU